rnacentral:rRNA from 2 species
AUAGCGCGGUGGUCCCACCUGACCCCAUGCCGAACUCAGAAGUGAAACGCCGUAGCGCCGAUGGUAGUGUGGGGUCUCCCCAUGCGAGAGUAGGACACUGCCA